AGAACGAACGCUGGCGGCAUGCCUAACACAUGCAAGUCGAACGGGACCUUCGGGUCUAGUGGCGCACGGGUGCGUAACGCGUGGGGAUCUGCCCUUAGGUACGGAAUAACUCAGGGAAACUUGAGCUAAUACCGUAUAAUGACUUCGGUCCAAAGAUUUAUCGCCCAGGGAUGAACCCGCGUAGGAUUAGCUUGUUGGUGAGGUAAAGGCUCACCAAGGCGACGAUCCUUAGCUGGUCUGAGAGGAUGAUCAGCCACACGUGGGACUGAGACACGGCCCAGACUCCUACGGGAGCAGCAGUGGGGAAUAUGGACAAUGGGCGAAAGCCUGAUCCAGCAAUGCCGCGUGAGUGAUGAAGGUCCUUAGGGUUGUAAAGCUCUUUACCCGGGAUGAUAAUGACAGUACCGGAGAAUAAGCUCCGCUAACUCCGUGCCAGCACGGCCGCGGUAACUCGUGGACGGCGGCGUACGGACGAAGGCCGCGAAGUAG
rnacentral:rRNA from 1 species